UACAGAGGUCUCAAGCGUUGUUCGGAUUCAUUGGGCGUAAAGGGCGCGUAGGCGGCGGGGUCAGUCGGGUGUGAAAUCUUGGGGCUUAACCCCGAAACGGCACUCGAAACUGCCCGGCUGGAGGGCCGGAGAGGAGAUCGGAAUUCACGGUGUAGCAGUGAGAUGCGUAGAGAUCGUGAGGAAGACCCGUGGCGAAGGCGGAUCUCUGGACGGCUAAAACUGACGCUGAGGCGCGAAGGCCAGGGGAGCAAACGGG
rnacentral:rRNA from 1 species